ACGGCGAGUGAAGAGGGAAAAGCUCAAGUUUGGAAGCUUCGUGGCAUAGCUACGACGCGUUGUAAACUGAAGUUUUUUGGGUGAUUGGGCGACCGGAUAAAUAAGUCCUUUGGAAAGGGGCAACAUAGAGGGUGACAUUCCCGUCUUUGGUCCGAGUCAGUGCAGUCGCUGCCCAGGAAACGACGAGUCAGGUUGUUUGGGAAUGCAGCCUAAAAUGGGAGGUAAAUCUCUCCUAAAGCUAAAUACUGGCGUAAGACCGAUAGCGAACAAGUACCGUGAGGGAAAGAUGAAAAGGACUUUGAAAAGAGGGUCAAAUAGUACGUGAAAUUGUUGAAAGGGAACCGUAUGAAAGUAGACUGGCUUGGUGAUGAUCAAUGUGUGUUUCGGCACGCAUGCACUCAUUGCCUUUGCCAGCCAGCGGCAGUUUUUGCUAAAGGAAGAAAAUCAGGGGAAUGUAGCUUCGAUUUCGGUUGAAGUGUUAUAGCUCCUGGUAAAAUACUUUGGCAGAGACUGAGGCUAGCAGCGGAUCUUUGGGAACUUUGCGCGCUUGUCGUCCAAUGGUUAAGUUUUCUUCGGAUGCUUGGUCAUUGGGUGGCAACUCGUGUGAUGCUUCACCCUUCCGCUUAGGUCGCU
rnacentral:rRNA from 1 species